rnacentral:rRNA from 1 species
AUUGAACGCUGGCGGCAUGCCUAACACAUGCAAGUCGAACGGAGGUAGGGGCAACUCUACUUCAGUGGCGGACGGGUGAGGAAUGCAUCGGAAUCUACCCUAGGGUGGGGGAUAACACAGGGGAACUUGUGCUAAUACCGCAUGAUGUCGAGAGACCAAAGCGGGGGACCGAAAGGCCUCGCGCGCUAGGAUGAGCCGAUGCCCGAUUAGCUAGUUGGUAGGGUAAUGGCCUACCAAGGCGACGAUCGGUAGCUGGUCUGAGAGGAUGAUCAGCCACACUGGGACUGAGACACGGCCCAGACUCCUACGGGAGGCAGCAGUGGGGAAUAUUGGACAAUGGGCGCAAGCCUGAUCCAGCAAUGCCGCGUGUGUGAAGAAGGCCUGCGGGUUGUAAAGCACUUUUGUUCGGGAAGAAAACGCGCCGACUAAUACUUGGUGUGGAUGACGGUACCGAAAGAAUAAGCACCGGCUAACUUCGUGCCAGC